rnacentral:lncRNA from 1 species
CCAACAGCGUCACAUUGGAUCCCAACAGCAACACCCCAUCCCAACAGUGUGACUCUUGAAGGCGGCAUCGGAUCCCGACACAACACCUCAUCCCAACAGUGUAACAUCAGAUCCCAACACAGCAACACCUUAAUGCAACACCCCAUCCCAACAGUGCGACUCUUGAAGGCAGCGUUGGAUCCCGACACAACGCCCCAUCCCAACAGCGUCACAUCGGAUCCCAGCAGCAACACCCCAUCCCAACAGCGCGACGCUUGAAGGCGGCAUCGGAUCCCAACACAACGCCCCAUCCCAACAGCGUAACAUCAGAUCCCAACACAGCAACACCCGAAUGCAACAGCCCAUCCCAACAGCGCGACACUUGAAGGCAGCAUCGGAUCCCAACACAACACCCCAUCCCAACAGCGUAACAUCAGAUCCCAACAGCAAC